AGAAGAAAAACCAAAAUAGAGGUGAGUUUUUGUUAAAAAUUUUAUUGGAGUUUCCUUCUUCUA
rnacentral:tRNA from 1 species